CAGUGAUCAUGACUCUGUUUGUUAUUCAGCUCAGCUCCUGACUGAAGGUUUACAGCUCUGUGUAGAGGAAAGCUUUGACAAGCCAAACCAGCUGCAACCAUGGUUCGAGUAACCAUCGACUACUAUCCUUCAUGAGGAACAAACGGCUACUACCGGCAGCUGUGCACGGAGUUGGCCAAAGUUCCUGGAACGCAGGUGACCUACCGGCAAGCGGCAUCAAACUGCUUUGAGGUAUGGGUGGAUGAUAAGCUGGUCCAUUCCAUGGCCCAGACUGGACGAUAUCCUGACGCCAAUAUGGUAAGGGCGGAGGUGAUGAAGAAAUAUGCCGGAGGGACAUCAGGAUAUUGUUCAACAGGGCAGAUGGCAUAUGGGGGAGGAUGACGAUAGUGGACCACCAGAAAGCUGGUGCAACAGAUGAGCAAAUGCUCUCUUUGUUUAAAGGUUAAAAAUUAGAUCUAAAUUCAACUAAAUGUUUUUUUUCCAAAUUUAGCACUUAACUGUGUCAGAAACACCAAUGUUACAAAAAUUAGUUGAAAUAUAACAAUGUGAAAACAAGACAAAGUAAAAAACAAACAACAACAACAACAAAAAAAAAAAACAUAUAUUGACUGAAACCAAAUUGAAAAGUUUAAAUCCUCCAGGUAUAGCCGUCAGCCAUGGGAUGAUCAGACCAGUCCCUCACAGAUCAGGCAGACAAAAAGAUGAGAGCAACUCUGAGGGUCCAGAUACUGAUGCACUUCUGUUUAUGAAUGUACACACUUAAAAAUAUGUGGUGUGUACAUGAUGCACGUUCAGAAGUUUUGCAACAAACUGGAGCCUGUGAACUGCUCUCAUCAUGUCGGUCUGACAUGUUGAACUCUUCAUUUACUCAGGAAAAAAAAAAUGCAACUCCUUAUCAAGAUAUUUGAGGGAAUACUCUCUGCUUUUUAGCCUGGAGUGACAAUAGCAGAGCUAUUAAGUCUCUGGGUGAAUUUUUACCUAGGUUAAAUCAGCAGGUUAGCCUCUGUUAGUGUAAAGACUAGAGACAGCUUACUACACUUUAUGUUCUGUAACCCAACCUGCCUUUUAGUGUCUCUGAUGUUGGCAGAUAUAAAAACAAGAUGUUAAAGCAAACAUUUGCUUUACAGGUGCUGAAAAGCAUCUUUCAAACAGAAAAAGAAGGUGACUUCAACACUUUAUGUUAGGCUAAGCUAUAGCUACAUCAACAAGCUUGUGCUUCAUAACUGUGUACAUGACACUGAUAUGUUUUUAUCACACUCCAAGCAAGACAGUGAAUAAGAGUAUUCCCAAAAGUAAUCUUACUUUGCUUGUAGGCUUUGUGGGGCUAAUUUCCUUCUGGUUUAGAUAAAGUUAAUGAGUUGUUAUGAAGCACCUUCAUUGUGCAGUCCCUGUACGGGCGAUGUCAUUCAACCUCUGACGUCUUCUUCUAUCUGAGCACUUAUGAACACACUCAUACCUGUCUAACAUCAGAUCUCUCAUAUAUUCAAAUCUAUCUUAUAUUUCCUACUGCACUAUGUAAGCAUGUAUUGACAGGUGGACACUUCAGCUCUUAGUACUGGGUAUGUGCUGCUAUCUUUGCGCUAAUUUCAUGUUUAGUGAUAAAGAAAGGCAUUCAAGCAAAGUCAAAUUUGCUUGAUCUUUAAAAACAACUUGUCAGAAUAGUUAUAUCAGACAUGCCUUUGUUUUCUCUGAAAUGCAAUAAAAUAUCCGUGAAAAACCAAA